GGACAGGUGGGGGCAUUCCUACACAUGCAAGUUCGAACGAGGGCCUUUCGGCCUUAAGUUGGCGCACGGGUGCGUAACGCGUGGGAGUUCUGCCCUUGGGUUCGGAGUAACUCAGAGAAAUCUGAGCUAAUACCGGAGGAGGUCGUAAGAGCAAAGAGUCAUCGCCCAAGGAUGAGCCCGCGUAGGAUUAGCUAGUUUGGUGAGGUAAAGGCUCACCAAGGCGACGAAUCCUUAGCUGGUCUGAGAGGAUGAUCAGCCACACUGGGACUGAGACACGGCCCAGACUCCUACGGGAGGCAGCAGUGGGGAAUAUUGGACAAUGGGCGAAAGCCUGAUCCAGCAAUGCCGCGUGAGUGAUGAAGGCCUUAGGGUUGUAAAGCUCUUUUUACCCGGGAUGAUAAUGACAGUACCGGGAGAAUAAGCUCCGGCUAACUUCGUGCCAGCAGCCGCGGUAAUACGAGGGGAGCUAGCGUUAUUCGGAAUUACUGGGCGUAAAGCGCACGUAGGCGGCUUUGUAAGUUAGAGGUGAAAGCCCAGAGCUCAACUCUGGAAUUGCCUUUAAGACUGCAUCGCUUGAAUCCAGGAGAGGUGAGUGGAAUUCCGAGUGUAGAGGUGAAAUUCGUAGAUAUUCGGAAGAACACCAGUGGCGAAAGCGGCUCACUGGACUGGUAUUGACGCUGAGUGCGAAAGCGUGGGGAGCAACAGGAUUAGAUACCCUGGUAGUCCACGCCGUAACGAUGAUACUAGCUGUCCCGGCACUUGGUGCUUGGGUGGCGCAGCUAACGCAUUAAGUUAUCCGCCUGGGGGAGUACGGUCGCAGAUAAACUCAAGGAAUGACGGGGCCUGCACAAGCGGUGGGAGCAUGUGGUUAUUCGAGCACGCCGCAGACCUUACCAGCGUUGGACAUGUCCGACGAUUCAGAGAUGGAUUUCUCCCUUCGGACUGAACACAGUGCUGCAUGCUGUCGUCAGCCUCUGUCCUGAAUGUUGGGUAGUCCCGGCACGACGCCAACCUCGAUAAGUUACAUCAUAGUGGUACUCUAGACGUCGGAUAGUCCGCAGAAGGUGGGAGGAUCAGUCUCUAGGCCCUUACGCUGCUCCACGUCUCAAUAGGACACUGGCACUCUCAGGGUGAUUCAGGCUCAUCAGACUGCAUCAUGCUGACGA
rnacentral:rRNA from 1 species